rnacentral:rRNA from 1 species
CUGCAGCUCAAGUGGUGACCGUUAUUAUUGGGCCUAAAACGUCCGUAGCCUGUCUAUUAAAUGCCUGGGUAAAUCGUGUAGCUUAACUAUACGAAUUCCGGGUAGACUGAUAGGCUUGAGACCGGGAGAGGCUAGAGGUACUCCUGGGGUAGAGGUGAAAUUCUGUAAUCCUGGGGGGACCACCAGUGGCGAAGGCGUCUAGCUAGAACGGGUCUGACGGUGAGGGACGAAGCCCUGGGGCGCAAACCGGAUUAGAUACCCGAGUAGUCC